rnacentral:lncRNA from 1 species
GCUCCCAUAUGAAAAUAUUCACUAAUAUGAUUGCCAUAUUUUAUUCAAUUGUAUCUAGAUCAUUACUUCUAAAGGAUUUCUUCUUGUGUGAGAGCGUUCAUUCUAAUUGCUCUUUGACGUGGGAGUGUUCAACAUGCAUGCUCUUCUUUCAAUAGUGUUCAAGUUUCUUCAUGAGAGUCUAAGCAUGAAUUCCUCUACCUAAUUGCAUUUUCAUCUAUAUGAUAUUGCCAUUGUUGUUUUGAUUCCACACUUUAAGUUUUAAUCAAUGAAACAUGAGAUUCUGUACAAGGUUUGAUGCAGCACCUUUGGAGGAUGGUGCCGUG